UACGUAGGAUGCAAGCGUUGUCCGGAAUUAUUGGGCGUGAAGAGCGCGCAGGCGGUUUGCCAAGUCAGAUGUGAAAGAGGCCGGCUUAACCGGCAAGGGUCAUUUGAAACUGACAGACUAGAGUGCAGCAGAGGAUAGCGGAAUUCCCGGUGUAGUGGUGAAAUGCGUAGAUAUCAGGAGGAACACCGGUGGCGAAGGCGGCACUCUGGGCCGGUACUGACGCUGAGGAGCGAAAGCGUGGGGAGCGAACAGG
rnacentral:rRNA from 1 species